CAGCAGCCGCGGGAAUACGUAGGGUGCGAGCGUUAAUCGGAAUUACUGGGCGUAAAGCGUGCGCAGGCGGUUCGUUAAGACAGAUGUGAAAUCCCCGGGCUCAACCUGGGAACUGCAUUUGUGACUGUAUAGCUAGAGUACGGCAGAGGGGGAUGGAAUUCCGCGUGUAGCAGUGAAAUGCGUAGAUAUGCGGAGGAACACCGAUGGCGAAGGCAAUCCCCUGGGCCUGUACUGACGCUCAUGCACGAAAGCGUGGGGAGCAAACAGGAUUAGAUACCCCGGUAGUCCCUGUCUCUUAUAC
rnacentral:rRNA from 1 species